GCACGAGAAAAGGGGGCAACCCCUGAGUACAGUGGCGCACGGGUGCGUAACACGUGGGCAAUCUGCCCUCAGGCGGGGGAUAACUAUCCGAAAGGAUAGCUAAUACCGCGUAUGACCACAGUCGCUUCGGCGACAGAGGUAAAAGCUGGCCUCUACUUGUAAGCUAGCACCUGAGGAGGAGCCCGCGGCCCAUCAGCUAGUUGGUGAGGUAACGGCUCACCAAGGCUAAGACGGGUAGCUGGUCUGAGAGGAUGAUCAGCCACACUGGCACUGAAACACGGGCCAGACUCCUACGGGAGGCAGCAGUGGGGAAUAUUGGACAAUGGGCGAAAGCCUGAUCCAGCGACGCCGCGUGGGUGAUGAAGGCCUUCGGGUCGUAAAGCCCUGUGGGAAGGAAAGAAAACGGUGGGUUCAAAUAGGUCCCAUCCUUGACGGUACCUUCUCAGAAAGCACCGGCUAACUCUGUGCCAGCAGCCGCGGUAA
rnacentral:rRNA from 1 species